AAGGCGCUCCGCCGCAGGAUUAACCCCUUCGACGGAACGUCGAACGCCGCCCGGUCAGCCCACCGGGCGGCGUUCUUCGU
rnacentral:sRNA from 1 species